UACAUGGGGUGCAAACGUUGCUCGGAAUUAUUGGGCGUAAAGCGCGCGUAGGCGGUUGCUUAAGUCGGAUGUGAAAGCCCUUGGCUCAACUGAGGAAGUGCAUCCGAAACUGAGCAGCUAGAGUACGGAAGAGGGUCGCGGAAUUCCCGGUGUAGAGGUGAAAUUCGUAGAUAUCGGGAGGAACACCGGCGGCGAAGGCGGCGACCUGGGUCGAGACUGACGCUGAGGCGCGAAAGCGUGGGGAGCAAACAGG
rnacentral:misc_RNA from 1 species